rnacentral:lncRNA from 1 species
AUGCAGUUUUCCAAGAGCCAUUUGAUCUCCAAGAUGUUAUGUGAGUGUCUUUUGUAUUUUAUUUUUUCCCUUAGAAAAGAAAAGCUGAUGGUUUGCCAAAAGAAAAUGAACUCCAAACUCUCGGGGUCUGAACUGGGUUCAAGCAUCAGAUCCAGGGAAGCUCAGGGGUUGCUGUUGAGUCAGGGGCCUCAAAUGUUCUCUGCACAAGCCAGAAGACCAACGGUCCAGGAGAAGGUCAAGAAAGAGAGAGGACCUGGGGUAAACAACAGGCAAAACAGGAAAACCAGACCAGCAGAGAGGAGAGAGACCAGCAAUCAGACCCUCCCAGAGACAAUCACUGUUAACACACUGGUGCAGACCUUUCCUAAUUUCUUUUCUAUAGAUAUAUGUUAUACUUUUCCUCUUUAAAAAUAGAACCAAAUUAUUCUAUUUUGUAGUCUGAUUUUUUUUUUGUCCAACUGACGACAACGAUGGUUUAAUUUUAUGCGUUACCUUGGCUAGGUUAUGGUGCACAGUUGUUUGGUCAAACACCAAUCUAGAUGUUGCUAUGAAGGUAUGUCACAGAAGUAAUGUGCAUCUACAAUCAGCUGACUUUAAAUAAAGGAGAUUACCUUUGAUAAU